UACGUAGGGGGCGAGCGUUGUCCGGAUUUAUUGGGCGUAAAGAGCUCGUAGGCGGUUUGGUAAGUCGGAUGUGAAAUCUCCAGGCUCAACCUGGAGGGGUCAUUCGAGACUGCUAUGACUAGAGUUCGGUAGAGGAGUGUGGAAUUCCUGGUGUAGCGGUGAAAUGCGCAGAUAUCAGGAGGAACACCGGUGGCGAAGGCGCCACUCUGGGCCGGUACUGACGCUGAGGAGCGAAAGCGUGGGGAGCAAACAGG
rnacentral:rRNA from 1 species